rnacentral:snRNA from 14 species
GAGUGUGAGGCACCUUGAUGCAAGCGGUAAUGAACUGAAAAGUAAGUGUAUGUGUUGCUCACACCCCCACUGCGCCUGUUGAUAUGAGCAUCUAUGCAUUUUGUGUUCUGAGAGAUGACUGUAGCCCCUUAAGCAUAACUUGUGGGAUUUACCCAAGCUCAAGGUCCAGUUCUAGGAGAAUGGAGGUUAGUCAAGCUUCCAAGACUGCAGACACAUCCAAGUGAGGCACUGCAUGUGGCAGUCUGUCAUUCUUU